AACAAUUUCUGGAGGAUCUAAUUAACCAAACAGGAAAUACAUAGAAUGUACUGACAUCAGGGGGUUAUUUAACAAAUGGCCAGAGAUCAUCCCACAGUGGAAUUCCAAACCAACAAACUCCGCCCAUGUGCUCAAUGCGCCUAAUCAAUGUUUAGUGUCCCUUUUCAACAAGAGCAAAGAUUAACAGGCAUCUCCGCAAAACUUGUAACCAGAAAGAAAAGACCAAACAAACAAGCAGAUAAAAGUAAUUUGGAGGAAAGAAAGAUAAUGCAGGAAAAGGAAAAUUUCUAAAUCACUAUCAUUAAUAUACUCAAAAAGAAAAGAGAAGAUCUUUCCUUGCUAUUUUUUAAAUAAAGGCACAUGCAGAGUCAAAACAGAGCCUGUAGAAUAUGAAAACCAUAAUAGAGAAAUGAAAAAUUCAGUAAGAAGAUUGGAAGUUAAAGUUGACGAAAUCUCCCAGAAACUAAGGGGAAAACCCAAAGAGAUGCAAGGUAUCAUCGUAACUCAUGAACCUGAGAUUCAAAACCGGGCCUGUCUGACUCCCAAGAUGUUGCUCUUAACUAUCGUGUGCAAAUCGGAAAACUCUCAGCCUCCACGGUUCCUCCCAGAGUUUCCUCCCAAGGUCUCCUCAGUUCCCUGGCUAGGGAUGCUGACGGAAAACCCAGCACCCUCCUCGGCCUUCCUGGAAGUCUUUGAGGAGAGGGGAGGAGCAAGCACGUUCCCAAGACCAGAGAGGUUCCCUCAUGCCUAUCAGCUAAUCAGAUUUUGUGUGAUGCCUGGAACUCCUAAUUCACCUUGCAGCCAGAGGGAGGAGGUAACAUCAAAGACAACAUACACAGGGACCCGGAAAAAAAAAAAAAAACAGGAUUCUUACGACAUUGUCAAGUUGCUGAAUGAGAACAUAUCCGACCUCUCAACGUAUUUCACUUUAGGUUUUUAAAAAGAUUUAUUUAUUUAUUUUAGGGGGGAGCACAUGGAGGGAGGAGCAGAGGGAGAUGAAGAGAAAAAAUCUCAAGCGGACUCCCCACCACGCAGAGCCCAACAUGGGGCUCGAUCCCAUGACCCGGAGAUCAUGAAGGAGUCAGAUGAAGCUGAAAGAGUGAGAUGCUCCAACGACUGAGUCACCCAGGAGCUCCUCUAAACUUAUGUUUUUAGGGCGCCUGGGUGGCUCAGUUGGUUGGACGACUGCCUUCGGCUCAGGUCAUGAUCCUGGAGUCCUAGAAUCGAGUCCCGCAUCGGGCUCCCAGCAUCAUGGGGAGUCUGCUUCUCCCUCUGACCUUCUCAUCGCUCAUGUUCUCUCUCACUGUCUCUCUCU
rnacentral:lncRNA from 1 species